UACGUAGGGGGCAAGCGUUGUCCGGAAUUAUUGGGCGUAAAGAGCUCGUAGGCGGUCUGUCGCGUCGGCUGUGAAAACCCGGAGCUCAACUCCGGGCCUGCAGUCGAUACGGGCAAACUGGAGUGUUGCAGGGGAGACUGGAAUUCCUGGUGUAGCGGUGAAAUGCGCAGAUAUCAGGAGGAACACCGGUGGCGAAGGCGGGUCUCUGGGCAGUAACUGACGCUGAGGAGCGAAAGCGUGGGGAGCGAACAGG
rnacentral:rRNA from 1 species